rnacentral:lncRNA from 1 species
ACUCACUCCAUCCUGCCACCCUGCGAGGAAGGUGCCUGCUUCUUCUUUGCCUUCCGCCGUGAGUGUGAGUCUCCUGAGGCCUCCCCAGCAAUGUGGAACUGAUACGUCAUGGAACAGAGGGCAACCUGCCUCCUGGAAAUGUGGAGUGUCUAGGGAGUCACAGCUGAGAUCUUCCUUGGAUUAAAGGCUGCGGGUGUCACAAACAGGAUGCUGUAACAACACCAUAAACUUUCAAACAACUCUAUUUCCUACGGUUCUGGAGGCUGGAAGUCCACAAUCAAAGUGUCAUGUUGUCAGGUUGUGGUGAGGGCCCUCUUUUGGGUGUAGAUUGCUAACUUUUCUGUAUGUGUUCACAUGGCAGAAAGAGAUUGAGCUAGCUCUUGGAUCCUUUCUUAUAAGGGCACCAAUCCCAAUACAGAGGCUUCACUCUCAUGACAUAAUUGUCUCCCAAAGACUCUACCUCCAAAUAUUAUCAAUCACAUUAGGGGAUAGAUUUUAACACAUGAUUUUGGGGGGAACACAUUCAGUCCAUAACAUUUCUUGAGUCUUCUUCUAGGACCCAUAGGUUAUUUUAAAAGUGGCUUGUUCAGUUCCAAGUGUUUGAAGAUUUUUUUUUUCUGUUAUCUUUAACUUACUGAUUUCUAGAUAGACCCCAUUGUGCUCAGAGAACACUCCUUAUGUGAUUUCAAUUAUUUUAAAUUUGUUGAGAUUUUAUGACUUAGUAUGUCAUCUGUCUUGGUGUGUAUUCUGUGGGGGGGAUGGGGGGUGCUUGAAAAACGGGUAUUCUGCUAUUAUAGAAUGUCAAAAUAUCAACUGUAAUAAACAAGAAAAAUAAUCCUAGUCUUUUAUUUAAGGGCCCUCUUUAGUCCAUCUCAACAGACCCUUCUCCGAAGGGGAAAGAAAUGCAGCUCACAAGAGCCCAUUAAACAACUAAAACAAGACAAAAUAAAACAACUACCCCCUGCCAAUUUGCACACUGUUACUUCUUUUGUUUUCCCAAUCUUAUUUCUUCUUCUUUUUUAUAAUAAAAAAUUUCAAAGCAAU